UGGGAGCGAUGGGCUAGGGACGGGAGAGAAUGAAGGAUUCUGGGUCGUGUAGUUCGUUGGCUCUUCUGCUCGGCGACAGUGCAGCGGCCUCCGGGGGAAACGAGGACUAAAGCCCCAAGCAGGCGGGGAGGCCUGCCCUUCUUGUUUCCCAGAUCCCAGGACCUGAUCCUACCUUCUGGACAAGUCCUUCUGCAUCUCCUGCACCAGGUGGUCCCUGGCCUUGUUUCUUUUCCUCUGGAGAUUCUGGACCACGUGGCUGACCAUCAGUGCCCUCCUGGAUGCAUGCCUCACCUCCCGGUGGCUCUGAAAAGCAAUGAAACAGCCCAUUCCUUUUCUGUCCUGAGAGGACGACCGUGGUAGCCGGCACCUGGGCAUUUGGCCCUAGUGGUCCUCCUCCUGAACGGAAGGGCACACAACCACAGUGAGGUCUACGCCAUUGAACCUGUUGGUUCCCACUCUGUUCUGAUAGGGAUCC